GAUGAACGCUGGCGGCGUGCUUAACACAUGCAAGUCGAACGGUGAAGGCGGAGAUUGCUCUGCUGGAUCAGUGGCGAACGGGUGAGUAACACGUGAGCAAUCUGCCCCUGACUCUGGGAUAAGCGCUGGAAACGGCGUCUAAUACUGGAUACGAGCUGCGAAGGCAUCUUCAGCAGCUGGAAAGAACUUCGGUCAGGGAUGAGCUCGCGGCCUAUCAGCUUGUUGGUGAGGUAACGGCUCACCAAGGCGUCGACGGGUAGCCGGCCUGAGAGGGUGACCGGCCACACUGGGACUGAGACACGGCCCAGACUCCUACGGGAGGCAGCAGUGGGGAAUAUUGCACAAUGGGCGAAAGCCUGAUGCAGCAACGCCGCGUGAGGGACGACGGCCUUCGGGUUGUAAACCUCUUUUAGCAGGGAAGAAGCGAAAGUGACGGUACCUGCAGAAAAAGCGCCGGCUAACUACGUG
rnacentral:rRNA from 1 species